ACCCCUAUCUCCCUUCGCUGACUCUCUUCGGACUCGGCCCGCCUGCACCCAGGUGAAAUAAACAGCCUUAUUGCUCACACAAAGCCUGUUUGGUGGUCUCUUCACAUGGAUGUGAGUGAAAUUUGGUGCCGUGACUCAGAUCAGCGGACCUCCCUUGGGAAAUCAAUACCCUGUCCUCCUGCUCUUUGCUCUGUGAGAAAGAUCCACCUACAACCUCUGGUCCUCAGACCAACCAGCCCAAGGAACAUCUCACCAAUUUUAAAUCCGAGACAAAGAAGACACGUUUUAUCCGUGGACCCAAUACACCGGCGCUGGCCACAGACUGGGAAGGCAGCCUUCCCUUGGUGUUUAAUCAUUGCAGGGGCAUCUCUCUGAUUAUUCACCCAGGUUUCAGAGGUGCCAGACCAGGAAGGGAUGCCUGCCUUGGUCCUUCACCCUUAGCGGCAAGUCCCGCAUUUCUAGGGGAGGGGCAGGAAACCUGACCUCUUAUCUCUGUGCCCCAAUCCCAUAUUUCCAUGCCCCGACCUCUUAUCUCUGCUCCCUGAUCCCUUAUUUCUGUGCCCCGACCCCUUCUCUGCUUUUCUGGAGGGCAAGAACCCCCCACCCCUUCUCCAUGUCUCUACUCUCUUUUCUCUGGGCUUGCCUCCUUCACUAUGGGCAAGCUUCCACCUUCCAUUCCUCCUUCUUCUCCCUUAGCCUGUGUUCUUAAGAACUUAAAACCUCUUCAACUCUCACCUGGCCUAAAACCUAAGCGUCUUAUUUUCUUCUGCAAUGCUACUUGACCCCAAUACAAACUCGACAGUAGUUCCAAAUAGCCGGAAAAUGGCAAUUUCAAUUUUUCCAUCCUACAAGAUCUAAAUAAUUCUUGUCUUAAAAUAGGCAAACGGUCUGAGGUGCCUGAUGUCCAGGCAUUCUUUCACACAUCGAUCCUUCUCUAGUCUCUGUUCCCAAUGCAACUCAUCCCAAAUCUUCCUUCUUUCCCUCCCACUGGUCCCCUCAGUCCCAACCCCAAGCAUCGCUGAGUCUUUCUAAAUCUUCCUUUUCUACAGACCCAUCUGACCUCUCCCCUCCUCGCCAGGCCGAGCUAGGUCCUAAUUCUUCCUCAGCCUCGGCUCCUCCACCCUAUAAAUCCUUUUAUCACCUCCCCUCCUCAAACCUGGUCUGGCUUACAGUUUCAUUCCAUGACUAGCCCCUCCCCCACCUGCCCAGCAAUUUACUCUUAAAAAGCUGGCUGGAGCUAAAGGCAUAAUCAGGGUUAAUGCUCCUUUUUCUUUAUCCCAAAUCAGAUAGCAUUUAGGCUCUUAUUCAUAAAAUAUAAAAACUCAGCCCAGUUCAUGGCUCGUUUGGCAGCAACCCUGAGAUGCAUUACAGCCCUAGACCCUAAAAGGUCAAAAGGCCGUCUUAUUCUCAAAAUACAUUUUAUUACCCAAUCUGCUCCCGACAUUAAAUAAAACUCCAAAAAUUAAAUUCCAGCCCUCAAACCCCACAACAAGACUUAAUUAACCUCUCCUUCAAGGUGUACAAUAAUAAAGGCAGCCAAGUAGCAACAUAUUUCUGAGUGGAGGCAAUUCCUUGCCUCCACUGUGAGACAAACCCCAGCCACAUCUCCAGCACACAAGAACUUUCAAACGCCUAAACCGCAGUGGCCAGGCAUUCCUCCAGAAACGCCUCCCCCAGGAGCUUGCUACAAGUGCCAGAAAUCUGGCCACCAGGCCAAGGAAUGCCUGCAGCCUGGGAUUCCUCCUAAGCCGUGUCCCAUCUGUGCGGGACCCCACUGGAAAUCGGACGUUCAACUCACCUGGCAGCCACUCCCAGAGCCCGUGGAACUCUGGCCCAAGGCUCUCUGACUGACUCCUUCCAAGAUCUUCUCAGCUUAGCGGCUGAAGACUGACGCUGCCCAAUCGCCUCGGAAGCCCCGGAGACCAUCACGGACGCCA
rnacentral:lncRNA from 1 species